AGAGGGAGAGGAGAAAUGAGGAUCAAAUUAUUAAAUGAACAGCAGAGAAAUUCCAUGUCAGAUUUUCACUUUAAGAUGAUCUUACAAAGAUGCUGAUAAGUCCCUAAAAAAAUAAUCUUUCAGUUGUGUUUGACUUGAUGUGGUAUCUGAUAGCAUUUUGAUUGUGGUCUCUUGAUGAAGACUAUAUUCUACCAGAUGUUAGAGUGUUUUUCUUUUUCUUCCCCUUUCCCUAGUCGAGAAAAAUUCAAUAUGGAGGUUGGGUUUCACACUUUCAUGGGAGUUGUACCUCACCAAACAAGAGUUGUAUCGUUGGUCUUUACUAACUACAUGGUCUCAUUUCGAUGAGAAAUUAUCACCACCUAUAGAUAUGGAUUUAGAUUAAAUGAUGAGAGCCACAUCUCAUUACAAUCCCUUAAAGAAAGUAAAAGAGGUUGUUUUGAAAAAAAUGUACUUAAUGCUUUAAUAUUAGGGCUUUCAAUGGGCUGAGCAUGUCCAACAUGUGAAAAAAACAGCUGGUUCAGAUUUAGGCCCAUUUGCUCAGGCCAGUGGUUUUGAUCCUGGGCCAAAGUCAGGCCUGAAGUGAUGGAUAGAUGCUUAGUUCAGGUGCCAGUUGUUGCAAAGCAAAAAAUUGCUUGGAAAA
rnacentral:lncRNA from 1 species